UACGUAGGGGUGCAAGCGUUAAUCGGAAUUACUGGGCGUAAAGCGUGCGCAGGCGGUUUUGUAAGUCUGUCGUGAAAUCCCCGGGCUCAACCUGGGAAUUGCGAUGGAGACUGCAAGGCUAGAAUCUGGCAGAGGGGGGGUAGAAUUCCACGUGUAGCAGUGAAAAUGCGUAGAUAUGCGGAGGAACACCGAUGGCGAAGGCAGCUCGCUGGGACGGUACUGACGCUGAGGGCGCGAAAAGCGUGGGGGAGCGAACAGG
rnacentral:rRNA from 1 species